AGUGAACGCUGGCGGUAGGCCUAACACAUGCAAGUCGAACGGCAGCACAGUAAGAGCUUGCUCUUACGGGUGGCGAGUGGCGGAGGGGUGAGGAAUACAUCGGAAUCUACUUUUUCGUGGGGGCUAACGUAGGGAAACUUACGCUAAUACCGCAUACGACCUACGGGUGAAAGCAGGGGAUGUUCGGACCCUGCGCGAUGGAAUGAGCCGAUGUCGGAUUAGCUAGUUGGCGGGGUAAAGGCCCACCAAGGCGACGAUCCGUAGCUGGUCUGAGAGGAUGAUCAGCCACACUGGAACUGAGACACGGUCCAGACUCCUACGGGAGGCAGCAGUGGGGAAUAUUGGACAAUGGGCGCAAGCCUGAUCCAGCCAUACCGCGUGGGUGAAGAAGGCCUUCGGGUUGUAAAGCCCUUUUGUUGGGAAAGAAAAGCAGCAGGUUAAUACCCCGCUGUUCUGACGGUACCCAAAGAAUAAGCACCGGCUAACUUCGUG
rnacentral:rRNA from 1 species